rnacentral:rRNA from 1 species
UGGGGAAUCUUGGACAAUGGGGGAAACCCUGAUCCAGCAAUGCCGCGUGUGUGAAGAAGGCCUUCGGGUUGUAAAGCACUUUAAGUGGGGAAGAAAGGUAGUGGUUGAAUAAACGACUGCCGUGACGGUACCCACAGAAUAAGCACCGGCUAACUCUGUGCCAGCAGCCGCGGUAAUACAGAGGGUGCGAGCGUUAAUCAGAAUGACUGGGCGUAAAGGGCGUGUAGGUGGUUGACUAGGUUUGAUGUGAAAUCCCCGGGCUUAACCUGGGAAUGGCGUCGAAAACGGGUUGACUUGAGUGAGAUAGAGGGUUGUGGAAUUUCCGGUGUAGCGGUGAAAUGCGUAGAUAUCGGAAAGAACAUCAGUGGCGAAGGCGACAACCUGGGUCUCAACUGACACUGAGGCGCGAAGGCGUGGGGAGCAAACAGG